ensembl:lncRNA LINC00658 long intergenic non-protein coding RNA 658
UCUCUCUCUCUGCGGAAGCCAGCCACCGCUCUCCAAGGACUCUCGAGCAGCUCCAUCUACAGAUUCACAUGGAGAAGAAUUAAGGGUUCCUGCCAAUCACCAGCACCACUUUGCCAGCCUUGUAAGUGGGCCACCUUGGAAUUGGAGCCUCCAGUUCCUACUGACAUCUGACUGCAACAUCAUGAGAGACCCUGAGUUUGAACCACCCAGCUGAGCUGCUUCUGAGCUAACCCACUGAAACCACAGUUGGCAUCUGUGUGAAGAUGUGAAUGGAGGAGGCAGAGUAGGCAGUGAGUGCCGCAGCCACAGCUUGUGUUCUCUGCAGCCCUGGCACAGAAGAUAGGAACACUCAUGGGGGAUGCGGCCACUGUGAUGUCUUCCCACACAAGAAGUGCCAAGUGCUUUUCUCAUGCUUUUCUGGAUUGUCCCAUGGUGGACGAGUCAGCAGGAGUGAGAUGGAGCAGCACAGUAGAGGGGCCAGGAUAUCGUUGUACAUAUUCUCAGCUAAGUGAGCACCAAUAGAGGAGAGGGAGAGUCUCAUGGAAGUUCCUUCUAAGCCUUUGGCUCUUUUUACCUUCAACAAGGUGUGCCACCUCUUUGAUCCAGCAAGUGGGAAGAACAGUCCCGGCCUCUUUGCACACAAGACCGUGAUACCAAUGCACCAUCACAGGCCCCACAGGGGAGCUGUCCGCUUCCCCACACAGCUGCUAGGGGCUCUUUUGCAUGUUCCCAACCUUUCCUGCCUUUAUCUGAUAUUCGUUCCUUAGAUCCUGGGAUGAGGAGGUGGACCAGCAGAAGGUGGGCUUGUGAAGGCAGCCCGGGGUCCAAAUCCUCCUGGCUCUUCAGCUUAGCGGGUUAGUUAACAUUCAGAAGCCUUCAUCUCCCAUCUGCAAAAUGGGCAUGUCCAACUCAGAAGCUGCCUUGAAGAAAGGGUCUACCCAGCAUGGGUUGCUUAGACUCAGUGGUGUGCUGGAGCAGGCUCCUACCAGCUAGAAAGAACCAGUUCAAUACGUCUCUUCUCAACUCCAUGUUCAGAGUUGUCAGAGAACCAAUUGUUAAAUAUUUACUGGCACUCCACUGCUUAGAUUUUACCAGUGCUUGCAGUGCUAACCAGGAGCUCAUCCCUGGAGGAGAGGCAGAGAAUGUGUACUCCCAGAUGCAGCCAGCUUCCAGAAGAAGAGGUAGGAGCCAAGCAGAGCAUGCCCACAUCAAUCUUCCAGCAUUUAAUGGCCAUAGAAGUUACUGAACCUCCCUUGGAUGGAUAGAAGAUGGCAUUAUCUUUCUUAAAUAUGAUACCUCUUAUCUUUUUGUUCCCUUGACACUUGAGGAGGGAGGCCAAGGGUUGAUCAUGCAAGCAAGUUUGUGCAUUUUGCACAUUUAUUAAGUUAUGCUUUUGAGGAAAUUAAAAGAUCACAAGGGCUU